rnacentral:piRNA from 1 species
UGAGAAAUUGAUGAAAUCUCAGAUGCUAUA